ACCCGCUGAACUUAAGCAUAUCAAUAAGCGGAGGAAAAGAAACCAACAGGGAUUGCCUCAGUAACGGCGAGUGAAGCGGCAACAGCUCAGAUUUGAAAGCCGGGUCAAACCAGCAUUGUAAUCUGCAGAGGAACGUUUGGCAGCGGUCAGGGACCAAGUCUUCUGGAAUGAAGCGCCUCAGAGGGUGAGAGCCCCGUACUUUCCGAGACCAACGCCGUUUAAGCGUCCUUCGACGAGUCGAGUUGUUUGGGAAUGCAGCUCAAAUAGGGUGGUAAAUUCCAUCUAAAGCUAAAUAUUGGCCAGAGACCGAUAGCGCACAAGUAGAGUGAUCGAAAGAUGAAAAGCACUUUGGAAAGAGAGUUAAAAAGUACGUGAAAUUGUUGAAAGGGAAGCGCUAGCGAUCAGAUUUGGGCUCAGUUGUUCCCCGCUCUUAGGGGCGGUUACUCUUCUGUUUCGAAGCCAGCAUCGGUUUCCGCGGUCGGAUAAAGGCAUUGGGAACGUGGCCAUCUUCGGGUGGUGUUAUAGCCCUUUGCAUAAUACGGCCCGUGGGGACCGAGGAACGCGCAUUCUUGCCAGGAUGCUGGCGUAAUGGUCGUUAGCGGCCCGUCUUGAAACACGG
rnacentral:rRNA from 1 species